AUUAGAUACUGAGAGACACCUAAGGUGUCAAAAUUUUAUUGGUUUCGUUUGGUUUUUUUUUUUUUCUCUUCUCUUCAUUUGCUUUUCUCUCUCUCGACACAAACGAAGCAAACGAGAGUAUCAAUCGAUAUUUCAAAAUCGAGUAGAACAACCCAAUCGAAGUUCUCAUCAGUUUCACAAUCAAAAUAAUUUUUGAAAAAUUUUGAGUAGCUAAUUCUGGGUAUUAUUAUUUUGAUUUUUGAAGGAAAAAACUGAAACUUGGGAUUGUAAAGCAGAAACAAUGAGCUCCAAUGGUGGUGGCGACGACUAUAGCACCAAAAGCUUUUGAUGGUCAGCGAGAGCUAUAAAAUCACUUGCAAUGGGAGAAUUGGAGGCUAGGAAUCUCAAGUAUCGAAGCACUGGGACUCUUCUCAUGGGUAUCUUAGUCGAAGUAAUCAGGUGUAUACAAGAGUAAAGAUGCAUUGAAGAUGGAGAAGUAGCGGCACAUCAAGAAUCUUCUGACAUGGUAUAAUAUGACCCAAUGACCAAGAUCAUUCUCAUCCUUCACCAUGUCUUGUGAUCUUAGCUUUUGUUUCUGCUGUUUUGAUUCUUGAACAAACUCAAAAAAAAAAAAAAACUAUCUUGCUUAAGUUUGAAGACACCCUAAAAUGACUAAUGGGAGGACAAAACUUAAAAACAAGGAUGUGAAGAGAUUAAUAUUAUUAAAAGU